AGGGACUUCAUGUUGGGUGCGUCACGAUCCGCCUUUGUUACCACAAGUAUCCAUUCCGAGCAAAUGACACCGAUACGUCUUCGAAGCAAAUAGCUGACUGCUCAAUAAAAGCACUGUUGACGCUCGGAAGCAUGGGCGAGAAGUAUUUACAACGUGCAAACCUUACUAUGGCGCUCUACCGAGCUGGCCUAGAGGAGUUGAAGGUCUGCUACCUGAAGUACGACCUCGUACCCCGGGACGGGAACAUUGCCUUGGCUAUUCUCCGCUGGUUUCGUUCAACAUUCUUUCGCUAGAGUUGAUGGCGGGUGACCCCGA